ACUAAGACACAGAAACAGCUCCUCAGAGAAGACAAGGUUUGGAAUCAUCACAAAUUGUAUCAAAACUGAGAUAUCAAGAUGAAGAACAUACUGGAAUGUGCCUUCAUAGUCUUGUGGCUUCAGCUUGGCUGGUUGAGUGGAGAAGACCAGGUGGAGCAGAGUCCUCAGACCCUGAGACUCCAGGAGGGAGACAGUCUCAGCCUAAACUGCAGUUACCAGGUCAGGUCUUUUAGAGGGCUACAGUGGUACAGGCAGGAUCCUGGGAAAGGUCCCGAACUCCUCUUCCUUCUGUAUUCAGUUGGGGAUGAAAAGCAUAAAGAAAGAUUAAGAGCCACGGUGUCAAAGGAAAGAAGUUCUCUGCACAUCACAGCCCCUAAACCUGAAGACUCAGCCACUUACCUCUGUGCCGUGGAGACACAGUGCUCCCCAGGCACCUGCAAGCCUGUACCAAAACCCUGCAGCUGCGGCUCUGGAAUAAGGGCAUCUCUGUUGUUUUUCCUCCUUGAAGAUGUAUUCACUUAGCACCCAGAACCUCUUUCCAAGUGGUCCUAUGGAGAAUGAAGUCUUCUGACAUAGCCAGACACCAGAGAUUACAGUUCAUUCUGUCCAGGGAUCCUAGACAGUCCCCUUUGUGUGUACAUGGGUCAGUCUGCUCUUUACAAGAGCCCAGAGCUUCCCUCACAUGGAUUCAGAAGGGACAGCUGUGAU